ensembl:lncRNA
AGGAUGCCUCCUCCCAACUGCGUCGUUGAGGACGGUGCGAGGCUGGGAUGGAUGAGAGGGCCACCGAGCACGAGUCUGACUGAGGGAGCGCGGCCCUCUGUCUCAGAAAGCCCUUGGCCUGAGAGGGGGGCACAGCCGCCUGGCGCCGGCGCCCACCGGCAGACCACUCCCCAACCCCGGAAACUAUUUCUGCAGCUUCCGGCUUUGGUUUCCCUUAGUCCGCUCCCACCUCUGACGUGAGUCUGACGGGCAGAGCCUGUGAGAGGCCGCACAAGAGCAGGGUCUGGUGAGGAGGGGGGCCUCCAUUCGCCGACAGCAUGGCUGGAGAACAGGCUGCCGUGUGGUGGCCAGCAUCUCUCCCGGCCCCACUAAGGAGAACAGAAGUGGCCGGAAGGAGUCGGGAGUCCCAUAGUUUCCUCUGCUUACUCUGUAUCUUCAGAACCUAUGCUGUGCCUGGAAUGCCAUCGGCACUCAGGAAAGAGAGAGAAGGAAAGUGUCCAGGUCCUGCACACCGUCUCACCUCACAGGUCCUGGGAGGGCCCAAGAAUUUGUGUCUCCAAGUUCUCAAGUGGUGCUGUUGUGGAGACCUCACUGCGAGACCCAGUGGAGCAGAAAGCGAAGGGGCAGAGGAGAAACUGACUGCUUCCGUUGGCCAUCGUCAAGGCGCAGCUCGCUUCCAGUGAGCAGGCCCUGCCACGUGCCAUGUGUGGCUCCCCGGGGAUGGGUUCUCCCAGGUGUACAUGCUGAGGAUGGGAACCUACCUCCUGGAACAUAAUUACCGCCAUCUAGAUAGAGAUUGGGACCUUGCCCCCAGGGCCCUCGGGGAUGGUUGGGCAGGUUGUGCACCACACAAAUCCAGGGGUGACCGUUCACAAGCCAGGGAGCAGCAUCUUCAAAUGAAAUCCUACCCAGAGGCUGAGUGGACAAGUCAAGGGAGAGGGGGCAGCUCCAGUUGAAUCAGGUGGAGAACCCAGGUGGAGAAGGUCCACCCGCCUGACGCCUCAUGCAGCCAGCUUCCUGCGUUCCCCCUUGAAGACCCUAACACGUUCAUGGAAUCCUCAGGUUGAAGACCAUCGCUGUCAAAGUGCCAAGAGCAUGCCCUCUUACCUGUAGUUCCACCUCCAAGACUCCAAAUACUCCCAGCUGAGUACACACAUUCAACACGGCUUUGUUUGUGACAGCAACUUAUAAAAAUGAAAACCAUUUAGUCCCCUGCCCUCUAUAUUGUCAGUGGAGAACAUAGGAAGAAGCUAGACCUCGCCCACUGCUUGGCAGGAAGAGUGCCUCCCUCCGCCUCCCAGCGGGGCAGCACCAUAGAAGGCUAGUGGUGCUGGGAUUCCCACGCUAGACCAGCAGUGAAUGGAGCUCCUCUCCCCUCGGGUGUCAACAAAGGCCAAGGGCAGGUCCUGAACUUCCACCUCUGCCUGGCAGGGGAGGUGCUGUGUCCCCCCUCUGCUGCCUUUUGUUGCAGGAUCAAUCUCAGAAAAAGCCAGCUAAAAUAUAAGUUUUCAAUAGGAUCCAGAUUCUCACAGCAUAAUACCCAAAG